GCUGUAUGUUUUCAUGUGGUGGAUUAGUGGCGAACGGGUGAGUAACACGUGGGUGAUCUGCCCUGCACUUUGGGAUAAGCUUGGGAAACUGGGUCUAAUACCGGAUAGGACUGCUUCUUUGAUGGGGUGGUGGAAAGCUUUUGCGGUGUGGGAUGAGCUUGCGGCCUAUCAGCUUGUUGGUGGGGUAAUGGCCUACCAAGGCGGCGACGGGUAUCCGGCCUGAGAGGGUGUUCGGACACAUUGGGACUGAGAUACGGCCCAGACUCUUACGGGAGGCAGCAGUGGGGAAUUUUGCACAAUGGGCGCAAGCCUGAUGCAGCGACGCCGCGUGGGGGAUGAAGGCCUUCGGGUUGUAAACUCCUUUCGCCAGGGACGAAGCGUUUUGUGACGGUACCUGGAUAAGAAGCACCGGCUAACUACGUGCCAGCAGCCGCGGUAAUACGUAGGGUGCGAGCGUUAUCCGGAUUUACUGGGCGUAAAGAGCUCGUAGGUGGUUUGUCGCGUCGUCUGUGGAAUCCCGGGGCUUAACUUCGGGCGUGCAGGCGAUACGGGCAUAACUUGAGUGCUGUAGGGGAGACUGGAAUUCCUGGUGUAGCGGUGAAAUGCGCAGAUAUUAGGAGGAACACCGAUGGCGAAGGCAGGUCUCUGGGCAGUUACUGACGCUGAGGAGCGAAAGCAUGGGUAGCGAACAGGAUUAGAUACCCUGGUAGUCCAUGCCGUAAACGGUGGGCGCUAGGUGUAGGGGGCUUCCACGUCUUCUGUGCCGUAGCU
rnacentral:rRNA from 1 species